UACGUAGGGUGCGAGCGUUAAUCGGAAUUACUGGGCGUAAAGCGUGCGCAGGCGGUUUGUAAGCCAGAUGUGAAAUCCCCGGGCUUAACCUGGGAAUGGCAUUUGGGACUGGCAAGGCUGGAGUGCGGCAGAGGAGACUGGAAUUCCGUGGUGUAGCAGUGAAAUGCGUAGAUAUCAGGAGGAAUACCGAUGGCGAAGGCGGUCUCUGGGCUGAC
rnacentral:rRNA from 1 species